GCGUAACACGGGAUAUUGUUAUGUUGUUUAGUGUUUAGCAAUGGCGACGAAUCCUCCUUCCGUCGAUGAGACUCAGGAAAAACCAAAGUCUAAACGACCUAAAGAAACAAAAUUUAAACAACAGAAUCUCCCAGCAUGGCAGCCUAUCCUUACAGCAAACACAGUUCUCCCAGCAUUUUUCGCCAUUGGAGUCGCUUUCAUUUGUUUGGGAGUUGCCUUGUUCAUAGCCUCUGAUGGGAUCAAGGAGUUCACAUACGACUACACCAACUGUGAGCGGACAGGUGGCGGGGGGCAGACAUGUGCAGAUUUCUUCACUAACCCCAACAACACAGGACUGACUUGUAACUGCCAGAUCACGCGCACCCUGGAAAAGUUUGAGAAAUCGGUGUAUGUGUACUAUGGGCUGACCAACUUUUACCAAAACCACCGUCGCUACGUGCGCUCAAGGGAUGACGACCAGCUGCACGGGGAAAACAUUGGGCCCGGCAGUCUAAACGACGAUUGUGACCCUUACAGAACCGUCUCCAUCAACAGUACAACCUACGGCUACGCACCAUGUGGGGCCAUCGCCAACAGUCUGUUCAAUGAUUCAUUUUCGCUGACAUAUGUACCCUCAACUGGUAGCUCUGAAGCAGUCGGGCUUAUCCGGACAGGUAUUGCCUGGGUCUCUGAUAAAAAUGUCAAGUUCAACAACCCGAGCAACUGGAACUUCUUCACGAAGCCUCCCAACUGGAAAAACAGCGUCCAGGACCUGGAUCCUACUGACCUAGAAAACACUGGCUAUGAAAAUGAAGACCUCAUCGUCUGGAUGAGGACGGCCGCCCUGCCGACGUUUCGCAAGCUCUAUCGGCGCAUCAACCACACGAGCUCGACCUUCAAUGAUGGUCUGCCUGCUGGAAACUAUACCAUUGACAUUUCAUACAAUUACCCAGUGACUGCUUUUGACGGAACCAAGAGCAUCAUCAUCUCCACCACCUCGUGGCUGGGUGGGAAGAACCCGUUCCUGGGGAUCGCCUACAUGGUGGUCGGCUCGCUGUGCAUCCUACUGGGCGUCGUAUUCGUCAUCAUCCACUUCAAAUGGGGCAAGAACUCAAAAUCCCGGAUACAGCAGCCCUCGGAGUCGGAAAUGUACUCUUUCCGCUCAAAAUCCCGGAGACCGGAGCCCCCAGAGUUGGAAAUGAUCACCUCCAUCAGCUUCCAGCUGGUCAGAGGCCAAGGGUGGGAAAGCACGGGUCUGUCUGUUUCCCGAUGGAGAACAUUGCCUCAACGGGCUCCUCUGUGAACCUGGUCUUCUGGGACCUUAUCUACCUGGACAGUGGGCCUGACACUGGUCCGGCCGUAUCUCCAGACAUGAUCAACGUCUCCCCUCGUGAUUCCUUCUAACAACCGCCUGCCUUCUCAGUUGCUGACUGCAUGUGUCCAGAGAGCUAGAAAUCCGUCAGAAUCUUUGACUUUGUAUACUUAGGCCCGUCAGACGUUGCCUAAGUUUUCUGUGACAAAAAGAUAUUGCAUUUUUAGAUCUAUGGAGGAUGGUUUUGGUACCUUUUGUAAAUGAAGUAUUUUUUUUCCUGGUACAGUAUGCAGACUUUUUUUACUUUGCAAAAUGCUCUGUUGUAGGCCUCUCAAAUUCUUUUGCAUUGGAAUACUGAUCACUGAUAGUCAAAAUAUGGUAAUUAUUUUAUGUUUUUACUGAGUUUGUAAAUGAUUUUCAGUUACUCAGUUUUGCAUGAUCAGGUUAGGCAGAACAUCAGACUGGUCAGUGAUGCACUUGAAUGUGAGCUCUGGUCUCUUGUGGAGAAGAAUUAACACCAGUUAGCAGUGGCCUUGAUCAAAGUGAAAGACAUGUACUGUCUAACUCAACUUCCUGUGAGAAAAGAAAUUUUGAAUCAAAUUUUUUCGGAGCCACAUAGAUUGUGUUAUUUCGGAGGAACUUAUAUGACUUUAUUGUGUUGCAAGUGCUGUUAAACACUUACUAAAACUAAAGAGGCCAAAAUAGGCCUUCCAACUUUUCGGUUUACAAACUGCUGUCUUGAGGCCUAUUUUCUCUCUUGAAAAGUUCAAAUCAAUUGUUGCCAAACUGACAUCAGUUCUGAAGAAUGUGUCCAAAAUGGUUGUCGUUAUUCUCUUUCAACAUAAUUUGGUAGUGCUUACAACCCAUGGAGUCAUAUUAACACAGAGCUGUGAAUAAAGAAACACAUAGACAGGAUAAGAGUCAUUUUAUGGAAAGUAAAAAGAAUUUUUAAUUAACAGAGAAAACAAAAAUGUAGGAUCUAUCAGUGACGCCCUCACACCCUGUGCAUAGAACUGGAAGAAGACGCGGGGAACCUCUGAACUGGAUUAGGGUUCUUGUCCUGAAAGGUCGAUGGACGCUAUGACGUCUUAAAGUUCUGAAUGGCAGACCCAUAAGUCAUAAUGGGCAAGGGGAAUAUUGAAAGUAUUAUUGCCAGGAUAAGAUAUCUUAGAUGAGAAUGCUCUGUGGUCCCUGACACAGUCUCUCUCUUCACUGGAAGUAUGAUAGGGUGAGAUAAUAUAACAGUUUAUUGAGCUCCACAAAAACAAAUUUGCUGCAGCACUGUAGAUCAUGCAAACACCCUUGUCAACUCUCUCUCUCUCUCUCUCUCACACACACACACACACACACACACACCCACAGAAGCACACACAAAUAGUCACUAGAUGAACAUGCAAAAGGAGAGUACAGACAGAAGGCUUGAGACCUAGAAGUUGAUAGUGAACCAUUCCAUAGCAAAUGUAUCAAAGUGUAUGUUUGCAUUUAUGUAAUCAAUUUGUUUAAAUUUGCCCUUCUUUUAGUACUCUCACUUUGCUAUUAUAAACGACAGUCUUGAACAAAACUGGUUAUGUGUGCUUUAAUAUUUGAUUUUAGUCUUUCCACGAUUUACAUACUUCGAGCACGUUGUAUUGUUGUCAGAGUCCUUUUUAUUCUUCUAAUCGAGAGAUUUUCAAAUGAUUGGAAUAGUGUUGUCUGGAGAAGUAUUUCUGUACAAAUGGCAACUUAUUUGGAAUUUCUGAUGUAUUAGUUUUCUUUCUUUUGUAUAAAUAAAUGCCCAUGUUUUUGUUUUUUAAGCUUUUCGUCCCAAGGUUUCCAACAAUGUUUCUCUCUCUCUCUCUCCGUGUGCUCACCGAAGCUAACGUGCUGGCUCAGGUUUCAUGACACUGUCAAACUGUACUGCUGCCGUAUUCAUGAAAGUGACAGCUCAUUCAUGGAUAAAUUUCAUCAUCUACAUUUUCUAUGAUUAUCUUCGUAAAGUUUACGGUGAAGGCUUUGAUGAAUGUGUGAAAUUUUCUCAAAACAAAGGCAAAUGCUCUAUAAUUAUAAUGUAUAUGACGUGUUUUGUGGGCGAUAAUCUUCUUCUUGUCACAUGUGGCUGUGCAAUACAUUGUACUUUUUUUUCCACAUUAACUUCUUUGCAUAAGUAAUUUUGCAGUUAGUUUUAUUUAUGCGAGGGGGGGGGGGGGGAUUUGAACUCUGCAUGAGUUAGCUUACUCUUGUCUUGAUCGGCUCUUUCAACGUAGAAUGUUAUACUCUGACGUCAUAUAAGUAGAGUUGUCGGACUUCAGUGGGCAAGGGGGAUGAGUAGGAGCAAUAGAGGAAGAAAAUGCUUGAGCUUCAGCUUUUUUUUUUUUUUUUUAUUGAUUUGGGGGGGGGGGGGGGGGGGGGGCUAGAAAAUGUUGCGAAGUAAGCAAGAUGAGGGACUCAUAGUCGUUAAUUUAUUGUCUUUUCUGUUGUACAAACAUCGAAAGGUUCAGAAGACAUUUGAUAUAUUUAUAUAUAUGCCCAUUGUUUGGUCCCUCAAUGUGCGGAAUGGACAAGGAAGGUAACAAAUGUCAUUCGCGAGUAAUAUCUGAAUUUUGAAUAAAUUUUUUAUAGAAAAUGAAUAAGGUAGCGUGAAUUUCAUGGCAAGAUCUGUUUUAUGGUUAGAUAACUUUGCCUGUUGGGAGUAUAGUAUUCAGUGAUUUGCUCAAUUGUUUGACGCAAAACGCAUGAAAAAAAAAAAAAUCACUUUACCUAUAUUUUGUGUUUCUCUCAAAUUAUCGUUUGAUACAGAAGCUGGCAUUUUUAAAAAUUAUCUGGGACUAUUUAUUCAGUUUUUUCUUUUUCUGACCUGAUCCAUUAUUGGAAUGAGCGAAUAUAUAUAUAUAUAUUGCAUUAUGCUGUUGUCUGACUGGUACUAACUGAGGGAAUGUGGUCAGAGACCAUCAACAUGAAUGCAAUAAUAAAUUGUGCUUGAAAGACAGAGGCAGGUAGCACAAGCCAGUGUGUGAAAGAGGUGUAAAGUAAAUGUGUGGCGUAGUCUUGUGUGUCACUAAGUCAAUGAUCUUUGUGAUUUGUAUGCUUGGAAACUGACUGAGAGAAUAAGGUCGCAUUAUCUUGCAGUGUCGGAUUUAUCAUUAUGUCGCUAGUGUAAGAAAAAUUUGGAAAUCUUUUUGAGCUUGGGCUCUGCUGUGCAAGAUGAGUGAAAAACAUUGGAGUUUCACUUUUUUCUUACGAUAUCGACUAUUAAUCGGUAAAUAAACGUAUUCAGACGACAGGCAAUAAUAAUAAUAAUCUGAUUUUUGUUUUAUGUUUAUGUGCAUGUUCUCUUUUUGUAGCGGAUUCAUGCCCUUUUCUUAUCUUAAUGUGAUUGGCUUUGAUGUCACGUCAAGUAUACCCACAUUUCUUAGCACUUGGCGAAAUAUUAUUUUGUGGAGAAGUUUUUGGACUUUAAAAUAGAUGACUUUCGUUGUUUUAAAGUUUGUUUUUGCUUCUUGUUAGGCGGGUAAAUUUGUUUUAAAAUAUAAGAUACAAGUUGUGUAUAAGGGAACUGUACCAUACAUUAUGUAUUGUUUUAAAGUGUGGAUCUCAAGACUUCUGCUUUAUUGAUGUGAAGCUCACUUUGAGACUGUGAAUAGAUGAAAAGUGGAAGAUGGUCGGGUAAAUUUUUGUGGUUAGUGUGUCAUUCUCUGUAUUGUGUAUAGUGUGCUGAUUGUUAAAUAUUUAUUGAUGCACGACCUAAAUAAGUCUUUGUUGAUUAUUUUUGUCUUUAAUCUGUGAUCUGUUGUACAAGUACAACUAUGAAGGGCUUUAUAGCAACACUUUGUAUCCAAAGAAUGAAAAACUGAUAAAUCAAUGUUAAUCCCAUUCACCUUCAGUGAGCUGAUUCAGAUAAAAAUAAAACUGAAUCGUAGCUGUAAAAAAUUACUAGAUGUAGUUACAAUAAGUUUUCUGACAAAAUACUUUACUUUUAUGCAGUCAAGAUGAAAGUUACUGCUCAAAAUUCUUACAGCUAAAAAAGACAUCAGUUCAAGUAUUGAAGACUCCAUUAUUGCUUUUUGUAUAAACCCUUCAUAUUAUUUUCUGGAAAGAAAGUGAAUGAUGUGCAUGAUUUUGUUGGUGUGUGGUACUGAUAAAAGUUAAAGAGUGAAUGAAAGAAAUUUCUCUCUACUUAUGUUGAAAAAAUGCAUUUCCUCUUGUUUUAAUGUUAAUCAGUGAUAAUAAUUUGAAAUGUUUUGUCUCUGAACAGGCUGAUUUAAAUGUUUUAUAGGUCCACAUAGCAAUGGAUUUUUCUUUCGAUCUUAAUGUGAUAUGGGGAAGAAACAUCUGUUUUAACAUAAAUAGGUUUCUUACUCUUCGUGUAAUUUAAGGAAAGUUGACCCUAUAUUUGAUUUCAGCUGAAUGUUUUUUUUUCCCUUAAAGCGGAAAUGGUAUGCCGCAUAAAUUUAAUUUAAAGCAGACAAUGUUUUCUUGUUUCGUGAACUGGAGACAAGCUUGAUGAACACCACAGCGAUAUAAUACAUUUUGAUUUUAUGGCGUUUGACUAAAAGUUUGUUUGUAAAAGUAAAUCAACCAACACUACUGUACUGUGAGUGUGAGAAGCCGAAGUAGACCCAUCUAAGGACUCAUGCCAUGAUCUUAUUUAAUUUAAAGGUCAUUGUAUAUUCCUCUUGCAGCAGUCCCCAACAUUUUCUCUUUACUGGUAGCACAGAAAGAUUUAGAACGUCGGCUCACAAAUGUUUGGUGUACCAGUGGAGAAAUGUGGACCUUUGUGAUUUUUUCAUCCUUGUAACUACAUGUACUUUUGUGUCUUGGUUGUUUUGUUACAUUUUCAUUUCUGAAUCAAUAAAGUAUAAUUGUUAUUUCAAUAUGUGGACACAUUUUGUGUUUGCUUGAAAAUCA